rnacentral:rRNA from 1 species
UACAGAGGGGGCAAGCGUUAUUCGGAAUUAUUGGGUGUAAAGGGCGCGUAGGCGGCCUGGCAAGUGGAAGGUGAAAUCCCUCGGCUUAACCGAGGAACUGCCCUCCAAACUGCUUGGCUUGAGUCCGGGAGAGGUGAGUGGAAUUCCCAGUGUAGCGGUGAAAUGCGUAGAUAUUGGGAGGAACACCAGUGGCGAAGGCGGCUCACUGGACCGGAACUGACGCUGAGGCGCGAAAGCGUGGGGAGCAAACGGG